rnacentral:rRNA from 1 species
UACGUAGGUGACAAGCGUUGUCCGGAUUUACUGGGCGUAAAGAGCGCGCAGGCGGUCGAUCAAGUCGAGUGUGAAAGCCUCCGGCUCAACUGGGGAGGGUCAUUCGAAACUGGUCGACUCGAAGGCAGGAGAGGGUAGUGGAAUUCCCGGUGUAGUGGUGAAAUGCGUAGAUAUCUGGAGGAACACCGGUGGCGAAGGCGGCAUCCUGGACCGGUAUUGACGCUGAGGCGCGAAAGCCAGGGGAGCAAACGGG